rnacentral:rRNA from 1 species
GGGGAAUAUUGGGCAAUGGGCGGAAGCCUGACCCAGCGACGCCGCGUGAGGGAAGAAGGCCUUUGGGUCGUAAACCUCUGUUGUAUGGGAAGAAGGAAGUGACGGUACCAUACGAGGAAGUCCCGGCUAACUACGUGCCAGCAGCCGCGGUAAUACGUAGGGGACGAGCGUUGUCCGGAAUUACUGGGCGUAAAGGGCGCGCAGGCGGAUAUUUAAGUCAGCUGUUAAAGUCAUGGGCUCAACUCAUGGAUGCGGUUGAAACUGGGUAUCUAGAGUGCUGGAGAGGUAGGCGGAACUCCCGGUGUAGCGGUGAAAUGCGUAGAUAUCGGGAAGAACACCAGUGGCGAAGGCGGCUUACUGGCCAGCAACUGACGCUGAGGCGCGAAAGCCAGGGGAGCGAACG